CUGAACUGGAUCGGGCCGGUCGCGUCCUGAACCUCUGUUGGACCGGCUUGAUCUUGAAUCUUCAACUGGACCAUCUCCUCAAUCAGCAGCUGGUCCUGGUCAGUCUGUCCAUCUCGAUCAAGGAUUUGUUGGACAGCCUUGGUGAAACCCUCUCGCAAGGCCCUGGUUCCACUCCGGGUUGUCGGACCGCGUCUAACUACGGGAACCUCUACUUGGAUGGCCUCAUCAUUCCCUCCCCCUUGAAGAGGUUCUGGCCUCAGAACACCAUCAUCUGCAAAAUCAUCAAAGCUAUCUGCAUGGAAAGGAGACAAAUCCGAGACAUUGAAAGUAUGUGAAAAUUUAAAUUCAGCCGGGAGGUCAAGGAUAUAGGCAUUGUCGUUGAUCUUCUUUAGGAUGCGGAAUGGUCCUGUCCCACGGGGAGAGAGUUUGGACUUCCGUGCUUCUGGAAACCUCUCGGGCCGCAUGUGUAACCACACCAAGUCUCCGGGUUCGAACAGCACCUCCUUCCUCUUCUGGUCAUACUUGGCCUUGACCUUAGCCGUCUUGGCCUCUAUUCUCUCCUUAACCUUCAAGUGCAUGUUCUUAACAAACUCGGCCUUAUUGGCUCCAUCACGACUGCGGUACAUGGAGCUGGGCAGUUCGGUGAAGUCUAAAGGAGUCUCUGGCUGAAACCCAUAAACAAUCUCAAAAGGUGACAGGUUAGUAGUAGAGUGCCUAGCAUGGUUAUAAGCAAACUCAACAAAAGGCAAACAAGACAACCAAUUUCUUAAAUUCUUACCGACCGUAGCUCUCAACAGUUGAGAAAGCGUACGGUUUACUACCUCAGUCUGGCCGUCGGUCUGGGGAUGGCAAGUGGUCGAGAAUAGUAGCUUGGUUCCGAACUUGCCCCAUAGUGUCCUCCAGAAAUGGCUGAGGAACUUGGCAUCACGGUCAGACACAAUGGUUCGAGGAACACCAUGUAGUCGGACCACUUCUUUGAAGAAUAGGUCGGCGGUCUGAGUGGCAUCAUUAGUGGUGUUACAGGCUAUGAAAUGGGCCAUCUUGGAGAACCUGUCUACCACUACAAAAAUGGAAUCCUUGUGGUUUAUCUUGGGUAAACCCAGCACAAAGUCCAUAGAAAUGUCUACCCACGGGUGGUUAGGAAUUGGCAAUGGCAUUUGUAAACCGUAAGGAUGUGACCUGGACUUGGUUUUAAGGCAGGUAGUGCACUUGGCACAUAGGUUCUCCACGUCCUUCUUCAUGUUUGGCCAAAAGAAAUGUUCAGUUAGGACACUCAAGGUCUUGUCCCGACCAAAGUGUCCCAUGAGGCCGCCACCAUGGGCCUCAGUCUUCCACUCGUCACCCUCCUUCAUCCGCACUUGGUGAUAGCCACUCCUAAGAUCAAUCUUGGAAAACAUGGUGGAACCACUCAGUUCAUCUAACAUAUCAUCAAGUCUAGGAAUGGGGUACCGAUGUUUUAUGGUGAUGUUGUUGAUGGCUCGGCAGUCAACACACAUACGCCAUGUACCAUCCUUCUUAGGCACCAAGAGGACGGGAACUGCACAUGGACUGAGACUCUCUCGAAUGUAUCCCUUGUCCAUGAGGUCUUGAACCUGCCUCUCCAGCUCCUUAGCCUCCUCCGGAUUGACUCGGUACGCGGCUCGGUUUGGAAGUGGGGCGCCGGGCACAAAGUCUAUCUGAUGCUCAAUGCCUCGGAGGGGUGGUAAGCCGGCUGGUAUCUCCUCAGGGAAUACGUCCUUGUACCUGUCCAUUAGCACCUGCAUCUCAGCUGGGCAAUCUGGUGCCUCAAAACCUGCAAAACAACCUUCCUUAAAGAUCAUUAGUAGCACCUGUGUUUCUUGCCGUAAUGAUUUAAUCACUUUACUAGAAGAGAUGAAAAGGUUAGUUUUACUAAACAGCCCAGACUGGUCCAUGGCUCUCUGCAUUUCGUAGACCUCUUGGGGACUGAGAGGAGCCAGACUGUGCUUCUUGUUGUCGUGGGUGAAGCUGUAGGUGUUACUCCUCCCAUGGUGAAUGGUAUCCUUGUCAAACUGCCAAGGCCUCCCUAACAGCAGAUGUCCGGCUUGCAUAGGAACCACGUCGCACUUCACCUGGUCCUGGUACUUACCAAUACAAAAGGGCACAACAACUUGUUCCGAGAUUUUAAGCUCCGUCUCAUCAUUAAGCCACUUGAGCCGGUAUGGCCGGGGGUGUGGCGACUUUGCUAGUCCCAAUUUGUCAACAAGGUACCUGCUGGCCACAUUAGUGCAAGAGCCACCAUCAAUAAUUAAACUACAUACCUUGCCCUCCACGCUACACCUCGUAUGAAAGAUGUUCUCUCGUUGGAUGUUCACUGGAUCAAAGAGAGCACUGAGAGCUCGUCUGACCACCAGUAGCUCACCAGUCUCAGCAUAAUCCACUAUCUCGUCUCCUGAUUCAGCCGACCCUACAUCGACCUCGUCUUGGGACUCAUACUCGCCGUCCGCCUUAAGGAUCAUGACACGCUUGUUCGGACAGUCCCUGGCGUAGUGCCCCUUUCCCUGACAUUUGAAACAAGUAAUAUCACGGGUUCUUUGGGCUGGAGUUUGUCCCUUACCUGGUUCGGAUGGGCUGGGUUUGGACUGAUCGGAAUGGUUCUUCUUGAACCGGCUUUCCACUUCAACGGACUUGUUCUUCUCAGCUCCUUUGGAUCCGGCUGGAGCCCAAGGCGCCUUGUUCCUGGCACUAGAGGCGUUCUUCCUCCUAAUGUGUUGCUCGGCCUGGACGGCAUAGUGGAGGAGGUCGUUGAAAUUGACGUAAGUCUGCCUCUCCACCUUACGAGCAAUGCGGUCUUGGAGACCUUCCAAGAACUGUGCCAUCAUAACUUCUUCGGUUUCGCGCGUCCUGAGCUUGUUCUUGAGAGCCUCGAACUCUUCGAAGUAUUCUUCCACGGUCCUAGUACCCUGAGACAACUUGCGAAAACGUUUUAGUAAGUCCCGCUGAUAGUAAGAGGGAAUAUACCUUGCUCGGAGUUUAGCUCGCAUCUCAUUCCAAGUCUCGAUCCUAUAGACCCGGCCAACCUCGGCUACUUCCCUGUCCCACCAAGUCAGGGCAUUGUCCGUCAGUUGGGCUGCGGCUAGGGCGAUCUUCUUGGCCUCGGUAUAGCGGUAGUACUCAAAGAUGUACUCCAUGCGCUUCUCCCAUUCAAUGUAGGCGUCCGGGUCAACCUUUCCAGCAAAGGUUGGAGGAGUAAGUUUGAGAUCCUUGCCUCCUUGCCAAGCGACCUCAUCAUCUCGGAAUCUCCUACGGAUUGGGCUACCAUCACCUUGGACCCGAUACUCUCGCCGGUUCCCACGCCCAGCCCGUUCGUACCGCGGCUCGUCCGGUUCGGUAUGGUCAUUGUCCGAGUUAUCCUCACUGGAUUGGGAUUGUUGCUCUUCUGGAAUGGGUUGGUUUCUCCUCCUUGGCUGUGGAGCAUUAGCUCGGUUUCUCCCUGCCAUCUGAGCCAGCUGCUCAGUCACCGUAGCCAGUGCGGCUUGGAGUUCAGCAUGGUUAGCCAACAGCUGAGCAUUGAUCUCGGCUUGUGUUGGUGCUCCAUCUAGGUCGCCCAUAUCUCCUGCGACCAGAGAAAGAAAAGAAACAAAUGACUUGCUAGGAAUCAAGAUUAAAAUAAAAGAGUACUAGCCAAGGCAAGCAAUGAUUGUAAACAUUUUUUUUUUUUUUGAAAAAUGGAAAGUAGAAAUCGAAAAUUUAAAAUAUGGAAAGUACAAAAAAAAUUUUUUUUUUUUUUUUUUUAAAUUAUGAAAACUUGAAGUGCAAGCCAAGAAAAAAAAAUUAAAUGCAAUUAAAUGAGAAUUGUUCAAAAAAAAGGAAAGUAAAAAUCGAUGGAUGCCAAAAACAGAUUUCUAGAAUGAUGGAUGCACAAAACGGAUCAAAAGAGAUGCAACAAGAACUCGCCAAGAACAGCAAGAACAAAAUACAAAAGGUUAACGGUCGAUUGAACUUUGUUGUCUUUUUCUUUUGAAAAUUAGCAUAUGUAAGACUUGUGUAAAAAAUUCUAAAGGAGUUUCUUUUCUUUGAUUGCUUCCGGAAUGUUUGGAUUUUCCGUGUCUUUAGUUGUAUGACUUGAUUGAAUGAACGCAUGACUUUUAUACGUCUCGAGUCGUCAUACUUGUGAUUAUGUUGGGUCGUCGUUUCUUCUUGACCGUUGGUGAUUCUUUGUCGCAUGUUAAAUGUUCAGAGUUCAAGGAGUAAAAAAUUUUCUUUCUUUUCGAUCGUUGGUUCGUGCGAGUCUAUUCUCGGCUUUUCUUCUUUCUAGGCGAAGGGCGAGACUUGGCCCGACUUACCCCCUAUAAGGUAGGACCGAGAUAAGUGCGUGAGCAAGGUCGACGCGGCUUAUCUGAUCGCCGACCCGUGAGAGUCUGGCCUCGGCUUUCUUGUCGAGUCGGGGUUUUUAGGCCCCUCGCCAAGAGCGUUUCUUCUUUAGACAGACGGCGGGACUUGGCCCGGCUUACCCCCUAUAAGUUAGGACCGAGAUAAGUGCGUGAGCAAGCUCGACGCGGCUUAUCCGAUCGCCGACCUGUGCGAGUCUGGCCUCGGCUUCGCUGUCUGGUUGGGGUUUUUAGGCCCCUCGCCGAGAGCGUUUCUUCUUUAGACGGAGGGCGGGACUUGGCCCAGCUUACCCCCUAUAAGGUAGGACAGAGAUAAGUGCGUGAGCAAGCUCGACGCGGCUUAUCCAAUCGCCGACCUGUGCGAGUCUGGCCUCGGCUUCGCUGUCGGGUCGGGGGUUUUAGGCCCCUCGCCGAGAGCGUUUCUUCUUUAGACGGAGGGCGGGACUUGGCCCGGCUUACCCCCUAUAAGGUAGGACCGAGAUAACUGUUGGGGAAAAGUAUUCCAUGAAGAGAUUACCCCAGCUUCCGUCUUCCAGGUCCCUGCCCCCAGGGUCCGGGUUCCUGCCUCUGGGUCCUAGGUCCCUGCCCCCAGGUCUGGGUCCUGCCUCCGGUCACGGGUCCCUGUCCCCGAGUCUGGGACCUUCCUCCGUCUUCCAGGCCAAGUGAUUUCUCCUGCCUUAAGAUAAAUGGAAAUAAGGUAACCAGCUUAGAGAAGAAGGAAUCUUCUUAAAUCCAUGAGAAAGAGGAAGUAUUCCAAUAUGAUAAGCCGCCCUUGUGAGAAUGGAAAUAUUCUAUUAUCUAAGGAUAUAUGGAAAAUUUCCAAACCCUAAGAGAAAGGCACGACCUCCACUAUAAAUAUAGGUUUAUAAACCUAAAGAAAAGGAGGAGAGACGUCCUUGACCAGAGCUCACAAUUCCACAGCCGCCAAGGCAAGGUUCCAUACCUAGAAGACCUUCUUCUUCGACACACCGAUGACAGGCUGAUCCCGGCGAUUACUAUCAACAAGAUGAAUAUAUGCUCUCUGCAGCACGUCUACAACUCUAUUUAUCGGCUCAGGCCACGAUCUCCCACUCAUCAGCAGGGUCCCUGCAUGCUCACUGAAGCACAUCGACGCUCCAUGCUCACUGCAGCAUAUUGACAGGUUUACCAUAUGUUUCGACCAUGUGCCCUCUAGAACAGAUGACUCCUACCAACUACAGAGCUACGUGCUCCCAAGGCUACGAGCACAUUAGGCCAUGUGCCCACUAGAGGCCCGUGCUCCUAAGGCUACUGAUACAGGCUGGGAUUCUGGUUGUCUCAAGGGUCGACCAGAGGUUCAGGAACUCGGACUGGACAGGUCGGGCCAAGAGUUAUGGAGCGGCUGGACGGACGCGAUGGAGGGGACGUCGGCCGAUCUGGUUCCUGAAACAAACAAGUGUUAUUUUUAUGAGUUUUCUAUGAUUUAAAAUUUGAUGAACUGAAAAUAAACUGAAGGAUAAAAUAAGAACAGAAACAAAUAUGACUUUUUAUGAGUUUUAUAUUGUAAUGGAAAUCUAGAGCUAUAUGAUGCAAACUGAAUCAAAAUAAGAAAGGAUAGAAAUUAUGGGGGAUGGAUCCUUGUUGCUGGAUGUGUAUCUCUCUCAACAAGGACAGUGGAUGGAGGUGGAUAGCUAUGGGAUUUGUCUUGCUGGAUGUAUAUCUCUCUCAAGGCAAAUCGUUGGAUGGGAUGGAGUGUAGAAUCGCCACAAGCUUGGUGGUUUGGAGCUUGAUAAGACUCGGCUGCUCUCUCUGUUUCUCACAGGGAAAAGACUUAGGGGUUUCUGAGUUUGCAAAGGCAAAAAUUAUUUCAUAAAGACAUGAGGCCAAAAAUCGCCUAACACAUAGAGUUAUAUAGGGGAUUUCCCUUUUGGGUCUCAAACUAAAAAGGCCUAGGAAACAUGCUGGCCGAAAAUAUGGCUGAAACAAAAGCCCAAAGUCUUAACCAAAUAAAUAAAUAAAUAAAUAAAAAUAAACCAGACAACUGGUUGUCGGUUUGAGAAGACCUAAACCAGAAUUCAUAGUAUGCUUGCAUGUUGCCUCGUUAAAACCUUUCGGGAAAACCCAGUGGGACAAAACCCGAUAAGGAAAAAGAGUACAACAGCAUACCAAUCCUUCUGAUGUCGGCUAGUUCUCAGAACCAUGAAGAGUUGGAAUGGGUGGAAUGGAAAUGGAAUUGGGGCCAAGCUCGGAUAUGGAAAUGAGACGUCCGGCUUGGUUGAGUCUGAACUGGAUCGGGCCGGUCGCGUCCUGAACCUCUGUUGGACCGGCUUGAUCUUGAAUCUUCAACUGGACCAUCUCCUCAAUCAGCAGCUGGUCCUGGUCAGUCUGUCCAUCUCGAUCAAGGAUUUGUUGGACAGCCUUGGUGAAACCCUCUCGCAAGGCCCUGGUUCCACUCCGGGUUGUCGGACCGCGUCUAACUACGGGAACCUCUACUUGGAUGGCCUCAUCAUUCCCUCCCCCUUGAAGAGGUUCUGGCCUCAGAACACCAUCAUCUGCAAAAUCAUCAAAGCUAUCUGCAUGGAAAGGAGACAAAUCCGAGACAUUGAAAGUAUGUGAAAAUUUAAAUUCAGCCGGGAGGUCAAGGAUAUAGGCAUUGUCGUUGAUCUUCUUUAGGAUGCGGAAUGGUCCUGUCCCACGGGGAGAGAGUUUGGACUUCCGUGCUUCUGGAAACCUCUCGGGCCGCAUGUGUAACCACACCAAGUCUCCGGGUUCGAACAGCACCUCCUUCCUCUUCUGGUCAUACUUGGCCUUGACCUUAGCCGUCUUGGCCUCUAUUCUCUCCUUAACCUUCAAGUGCAUGUUCUUAACAAACUCGGCCUUAUUGGCUCCAUCACGACUGCGGUACAUGGAGCUGGGCAGUUCGGUGAAGUCUAAAGGAGUCUCUGGCUGAAACCCAUAAACAAUCUCAAAAGGUGACAGGUUAGUAGUAGAGUGCCUAGCAUGGUUAUAAGCAAACUCAACAAAAGGCAAACAAGACAACCAAUUUCUUAAAUUCUUACCGACCGUAGCUCUCAACAGUUGAGAAAG
rnacentral:lncRNA from 1 species